CCUACGGGAGGCAGCAGUGGGGAAUAUUGGGCAAUGGAGGAAACUCUGACCCAGCGACGCCGCGUGCGGGAUGAAGGCCUUCGGGUUGUAAACCGCUUUCAGUAGGGAAGAAGCGAAAGUGACGGUACCUACAAAAGAAGCACCGGCUAACUAUGUGCCAGCAGCCGCGGUAAUACAUAGGGUGCAAGCGUUGUCCGGAAUUAUUGGGCGUAAAGAGCUCGUAGGUCGUUUGUUACGUCGGAUGUGAAAACCUGAGGCUCAACCUCAGGCCUGCAUUCGAUACGGGCAAACUAGAGUUUGGUAGGGGAGACUGGAAUUCCUGGUGUAGCGGUGGAAUGCGCAGAUAUCAGGAGGAACACCAAUGGCGAAGGCAGGUCUCUGGGCCAAUACUGACACUGAGGAGCGAAAGUCUGGGGAGCGAACAGGAUUAGAUACCCUGGUAGUCCAGACCGUAAACGGUGGGCACUAGUUGUGGGAACCUUCCACGGUUUCUGCGACGCAGCUAACGCAUUAAGUGCCCCGCCUGGGGAUACGAUCGCAAGNUUAAAACUCAAAGGAAUUGACGGCNGAGAGNGCGACGACGACGACGAGGAGAG
rnacentral:rRNA from 1 species